CUUGGAGACGUACCAAUGAAGUUCUGCAGGUUGGCCACAAAUCUUCAUUACUGGUGCUGGAAAUGUGGUCCACAGCAGUCAUCACAAUGCCUGGUGGUGGUGGUGGUGUGAGAAGCAGGAAAAGAGGAGAGGAGCAAGUAACACCUAAGUUUUAUUGAGAUACAGUGGUGGGUGUGCUGAGACACCAAAGGGGAAGUGAAGGCUAUGAGGAGAUGAGGCAGAAGGCUAACAGGAAGAUCCAUGAAGGGAUGUUAGGCAAGAUGAAAACCUGCAAGGACAGAGGACUACGAUGUAAACUUCCCGGACCUGGACGAAGCACUACAGGCAUUCAAUAGGGAUAGGAUACACCUUAGCUGGGAAGGAGAAAAGGUCAUAUGUAGCAGGAUCCAUAAGUGAAUCAGGGCAACAGAGAGGUUGCACAAGACCAGGCAAAUAGACAGCAGACAGGACACUGACACCAGAAUGAAAGAGACCUGUGGGGAAGAGGGUGUGUGAAUGUGAAAGGAAGAGGAGGCAAGAGGAUGGGGCAUUGUGAAAAUCAAGUAUGUGUGCAAAAAACUCAUUGUAGCAUUUUGACUGUAAAAAUAACAGACAAGCUUUAAGGGAUGACGUGCAACUGGAUGGUAAGAAGUAUGUGAUGAUCAGAAAGGCACGGAAAGAUCAGGACAGAGUAUAGGAAGGAAAGGAAUUUUAAGAGAAAAACUUGGUGUAGGAAACUGUGCCAUUAGUUAGGAUGUUUUAGCAGUGAGGGUAGAGUGCACACAUGAGCAUAGGAAGUAUGAAAGAUUGGUUGUGAUUGUGGUGUACAUGACAGUAGGUCAGAGAGCAGUGAGGAAAAAAUAGCAGGAAGUAUGGAGGAAGAUUGUGAAAGUAUGCUGGAGAGCGAGUGAUUAUGGGAGAUAUGAAUGUACAUGUAGGUAUGUAUACUAGGCAUGCAAAUGAAUAAGAAUGUUCAGAUGCUCCAAUGUUUUGUAAAUGAGAUGAAUGUGGAGAAUUUGAAUAAGACCCUGAUUGAAGGACUUGGUGUGCUAGGAAUGAGGAGUCUACGAAUGAUUAUAUGUUAGUGAAAUAAGAGAAUGCUGAGUCUGCGAAUGAUUAUAUGUUAGUGAAUAAGAGAAUGCAUGAGAUUGUGGACCACAUGUGGAAUGAUGAGGAUGAAAUGAUUGACACUGUCUCGUACCAUAACAUACUGCUGCUGGAGUGUAAGCUGUAUGAAAGAGGAAAGGAAUGCAAGUGGCUAAAAGGAAUGUGUGUGUGUGUGUGUGUGUGUGUGUGUGUCUAGGCAGUUGAGGAACUGGAGGCAAGAGAGUGAAGAAGCAGAGUGAAUACCAGAAUGCAAGAACAGUGUAUGUGAGGCAGAAGUGAGUGAUGAAGUGGAACAUAAUGAAUGCUAAAGGUAGAUUGCUGAGGGGUGAGGGAAUGCCUGAUCACCAUGAGAAUAUGGAGAGCCUGACUAACCAACAAGGAAAUGCAACAAAGA